rnacentral:lncRNA from 1 species
GUCACUGUUGCUACUGUCUGGUUGUCUUUUUGAGCUCUCUUAUAUAUACUACUUGAUCUUCCUAAAGUUAUCAUUAUCUUUGAAGCACUAAGCAGGUUAGAAAAAAGCAUUCCUCUGUAUAUUAGACCAUGUUUAUUUCCAAGUCUGUUGCUUUUUCUUACAAUGUGAAUGAUGGGCAUGGGGAUGGUUGUCUUUGUGGAUUGUUCAUACACGGUAUCUCUUAACACAUAUAUAUUCAAGAUCUCAUAAUUCACUUUUAAUAAUUACUCUUUUUAAAGUCACUGAAUUCAGAAAAAGAGCUGUUAAAGAAGAAAAGGUAUCCAUUGAAGUUCCAAAAAGAGAAGCUCUUCCCAUGAAAGAAGUAACCGUAACUGAGGAGAAAGAAUGGUCUUACACCCGGGAAGAAGAAAUUGUUUCAGUAGAACAGGAAGAGGCAUAUGACGAAUAUGAGGAAUAUGACUAUAAAGAAUUUGAGGAAUAUGAACCAACAGAAGAAUAUGACCAAUAUGAAGAAUAUGAGGAACGUGAAUUUGAACAUUAUGAAGAGUUUAAAGAGCAUGAAGAAUAUGUCACAGAACCCAAGAAGCCUCUCCCAGUAAAGCCUGUCCAAGAAGAACUGGUUCCCACAAAGCCAAAGGCCCCACCCACUAAAGUGCCUGAGAUUCCUAAGAAGCCGGAGGAGAAAGUGCCUGUGCCCAUUCCUAAAAAAGAGAAGCCUCCACCAGCUAAAGUUCCUGAAGUGCCCAAGAAACCUGUACCAGAGGAGAAAAUACCAGUACCAGUUCCUAAAAAGGUGGAAGCUCCACGUGCCAA